UUAUCUCUGUAGAGUCUGCAUAUCAAUAAGCGGAGGAAAAGAAACUAACAAGGAUUCCCUUAGUAACGGCGAGUGAAGCGGGAAGAGCUCAAAUUUGAAAUCUUCAAGGGUUUACCUUUACGAAUUGUAGUUUAAAGAAGUGUUUUCUGUUGAGGUUUCGGUAAAAGUUCUUUGGAAUAGGACAUCAUAGAGGGUGAGAAUCCCGUAUUUGACCGUUAUUUUCAGCUGUGUGAUACACUUUCAAAGAGUCGGAUUGUUUGGGAAUGCAGUCCAAAAUGGGUGGUAAAUUUCAUCUAAAGCUAAAUAUUGGCGAGAGACCGAUAGCGAACAAGUACCGUGAGGGAAAGAUGAAAAGAACUUUGAAAAGAGAGUUAAACAGUACGUGAAAUUGUCAAAAGGGAAGCGUUUGACACCAGUGUUGUUUUCUCGAAAAUCAAUUAAAAAUGGCAGGAUUUUGUGUUGUAUUGACUUUAUCAGCUUUCUGCACUUUUUUCUUGUCUUUUUUAAUGCACUUUUCGUUUAACAAGUCAACAUCAAUUUCUUUUGCUGUAAAAGAGUCAUUGGAAGGCGGCUUUCUUUUCGGAGAAAGUGUUUAUAGCCUUUGACUUCUGCAGUCGGAGAGAUUGAGGUCUGCAGCGUAGAUCCUUCGGGGUUAGAUGCAUUUGUGCUAAGUUAUAGCCUUUCAUAGACAACUUGUUGACUAUGAUCAGUCAUGUAGCUUACUCGCUUAUGUUAUUUUACCUACGCUUAGGAUGUUGAUCUCUCACAGUCGAGC
rnacentral:rRNA from 1 species